CCUUCUAACCACCCGCGCUCUCACACUUUGCCUCCGCUCCGCCGUUUCCAUGGCUCCGGUUUCCUACUUUCCUCUUGUCUCCUCCGUCCUCAGCCUGUUCUGUAAUGUGGGAUUUACUAGAAGAGCAGGGCUGGUGUUCGAGGAGGAGAAGUUGAAAUCCUAGAGGGAGGAAGGCGGGGAAGCCAAUACUACUUGCUAUUUCCACUGCAAUGAACGUCUCUGUGUCAUCAAAAUAAGAACUUCAACCCCAAGGUUGAAACAGCCAAGCAGAAUUUGAUGGAAAUAUAUUUAGGAACAGCUAAAUUAGCAGUGCGACGCGUGUUUUCUUUUCAUUGAAGAAUUCAGCCAGUUAAAACGAGUCUAAAUGGAAGUCUGAAAGCUUUUUCUUCAUUGUUGAGGAAUAAAAUAUUUCGUGUAUUUUUCGUUUUCCAGAUUCAUUCAUUUAACAAAUAUCAGUUGAGCACUUUCCAUGCCGUAGGGCCUGUACAAGGCACAUAGCAUUCUAGACAUCUGAAGCAUCAAAACUAAUCAUUUUUAUUUUGAAGAAAAUCACUCAAAAUAUUUUAUGUACUUUGUGCCUUUCAUGAACAGAAUAUUCCAAGCAUUCUCUGCAAAAUACGCAUGAAAACAAUUGGGAGAGAAGAGGUCAAUUAUCUUUGAGAAGCCCAAUUACAGAAUGAAAUUCAAUUCAUUAUUAAAAAUACAUGGAUCUAAUAAAGAAUAAAUAAUUGGAAAAGAAAAGUUUAAGGAAGAGAGAAACGGGAAUGAGAAACAAUUACUGUGGGCUCCCAAUGGCCUGGAGUGAAUCACCAAAGUAACCUAAACAUGAAGUCAUGAAAAACUAAGUGGAUUCUGCCUUUUAGUACUUCCCAUCAUGGGGGAAGUCACCAGCGACCUCCUUACUGUAUUUUGGAUGAUUCAAGAAAUAGAAAGGUGUCCUACUGACUUCUGAAACAGGGUGUCUUCAUAUUGAUUAGGGUCACCGUAAGCCUGGGAGCUGAUGCUUACUCUCAGGUAAAGGAUGCUGUGUGAGGCUGCUUGAUGAAUGAGAAUACUAACAUUCUUCUGCAUUGAAAAAAUAUAACCUAUAAGAUGAACAUUGUAGGCCGGGCGCAGUGGCUCACGCCUGUAAUCCCAACACUUUGGGAGUCUGAGGCGGAUGGAUCACCUGAGGCCAGGAGUUUGAGACCAGCCUGGCCAACGUAGUGAAACCUCAUCUCUAUUAAAAGUACAAAAAAUUAGCCUGGUGUGGUGGUGCACACUUGUAAUCCCAGCUACUCAGGAGCCUGAGGCAGGAGAAUCAUUUGAACCUGGGAGGCAGAGGUUGCAGUGAGCCGAGAUUGCACCACUGAACUCCAGCCUGGGCAACAGAGCCAGACUCUGUCUCCAAAAAAAAAAAAACAUGAACAUGGCCAUUCUAAAGUCCUACAGUAUCCAGAUGAGAAACGAGAGAAAGCAUAAGCUUUGGAGUCCAAAGAUCAGGAUUUUAGCGUCAGCACUCCACACCUUAGCUAUACAAUCUCAAAGCAGCCUGCACCUGUGGCCUCAUGGCGCAUUCUCUACAAUCAGUUGACAGAGGAAGAGAAGACUCAGGCCUGGUUUACAGAUGAUUUUGCAUUCUACGCAGAUCUUAUCACAAUGAAUAAUUUGGUCUUGCUCGAUCACCCAGGCUGGAGUGCAGCCUCGACC